UCUCCCAUUAUUCAAAGAUAUCAUGGAUCACCCACCAGAGAUGCUGAAAUCCAGACAUUUCAUAUGAGAAAUGGUGACUCAAUCAAACUUAAGCAGAGAAAUUUGGAAGAAAAGAUGGAAAGCAUCAGAGGCGCGAAACUGCUCCCUGAUAAGUAAUACAGAAAUUAAAGUUCUUGGUUUUGAACUUCCUAGAAGACUGAACAAUUCUCAACAGAAUCAGAACACAACAGGGUAAUUGUGGUGAGAGAUGAACAGUCUGUUAUAUUAUAGACGUAGUCCCUAUAACAAAAUUCGUUGGAGGCAUUGAAAAACUCCACAAAGCAGAAAUGGAAACAAUCCCAAGGUUGGAAAAUCUGGAAAUGUGAUUGUAAACUUUAGUCUUCAGUUGAUUU